AUUAAUACCUCAUAGUAUAGCAAUUUCGCAUAGAAACCACUAUUAAAGUUCCAACGGUGAAAGAUGAGCAUGCGUCCCAUUAGCUAGAUGGUAAGGUAACGGCUUACCAUGGCUACGAUGGGUAGGGGUCCUGAGAGGGAGAUCCCCCACACUGGUACUGAGACACGGACCAGACUCCUACGGGAGGCAGCAGUGAGGAAUAUUGGUCAAUGGACGCAAGUCUGAACCAGCCAUGCCGCGUGCAGGAUGACGGUCCUAUGGAUUGUAAACUGCUUUUGUACGAGAAGAAACAACAUUACGUGUAAUGUCUUGACGGUAUCGUAAGAAUAAGGAUCGGCUAACUCCGUG
rnacentral:rRNA from 1 species